GGGGGGGGGGGGGGGGGGGGGGGGGGGGGGCGGGGGGGGCGGGCGGGCGGGGCGUUUGUGGGGGGCUGGGGUGGCGGGCGGGGGAGUAGGGCGGGCGUACCCUGGCGUUGACUUGGGGAUAACUUCAGGAAACUGGGGCGAAUCCAGGAUCUGCGCUCCUGCUUGCUGGUGUGGUUGGGAACGUUGCGGCGGUUGGGGAUGGACUCGAUGGCUAUCAGCUUGUUGCUGUGGUAGGGUCUUACCAAGGCUUUGACGGGUAGCCGGCCUGAGAGGGUGACCGGCCACAUUGGGACUGAGAUACGGCCCAGACUCCUACGGGAGGCAGCAGUGGGGAAUAUUGCACAAUGGGCGGAAGCCUGAUGCAGCAACGCCGCGUGCGGGAUGACGGCCUUCGGGUUGUAAACCGCUUUCGCCUGUGACGAAGUGUGAGUGACGGUAAUGGGUAAAGAAGCACCGGCUAACUACGUG
rnacentral:rRNA from 1 species